ensembl:lncRNA
GUCCUGUUCAUCCUGUGACUGAGGGAGCUUCUGUUAGUCUGAGCUGCAGUUUGAGAACACAAAAAAUACUUUCCAAUGUGUUUUCUAUCACAAUGACAAACUUAUUCAAAAUGAUCCCGAGGGGAGCUGAAGAUCUCUGCAGUGUCAAAGUCUGAUGAAGGUUUCUACAAGUGUCAGUACUCAGGAGGAGAGUCAGCACAGAGCUGGAUGUCAGUUAAAGUAGCUCCAUCAGGAUCUAAAAGGACUUCAUGUCCUGUGUGGUUGGUUGUUGGACUGGUUUGUGGAGUCUCUCUUCUUAUUAUUUUCCUGCUCGGAAUGUAUCGCUAUAGAAAGGCGAAGGAUUUAUGCUUCACUGGGCCGAUCCAGUCGGACAUCAACAGUCAAGACUCCACCAGAAAUCAUGGAGACAAUCAGACUGAAACCCAUGAGUACAAAUCUCUUCACCCUGGUGAAUAUGAACUCUAUGAAACAGCCCAUCACUCAGGAGACACUGCAAAUGGUGAUCAUCACAUCUAUGAAACAAUCCAAGACUUGGAAGAUACUGCAAAUGGUACACAUUAUCUUUUGAGUAUCACAGAGUGGUUACCAGAGGUGGCAAAAGUACAGGAAUUCUGUACUUAAGUAGAAUUACAGUUACUAGUGUUGAAAAAUACUCCAGUAAAAGUUGAAGUACUGAUUCAACGUCUUUACUCGA